rnacentral:rRNA from 1 species
AGUGAACGCUGGCGGUAGGCCUAACACAUGCAAGUCGAACGGCAACACAGGAGAGCUUGCUCUCUGGGUGGCGAGUGGCGGACGGGUGAGGAAUACAUCGGAAUCUACUCUGUCGUGGGGGAUAACGUAGGGAAACUUACGCUAAUACCGCAUACGACCUACGGGUGAAAGCAGGGGACCUUCGGGCCUUGCGCGAUUGAAUGAGCCGAUGUCGGAUUAGCUAGUUGGCGGGGUAAAGGCCCACCAAGGCGACGAUCCGUAGCUGGGCUGAGAGGAUGAUCAGCCACACUGGAACUGAGACACGGUCCAGACUCCUACGGGAGGCAGCAGUGGGGAAUAUUGGACAAUGGGCGCAAGCCUGAUCCAGCCAUACCGCGUGGGUGAAGAAGGCCUUCGGGUUGUAAAGCCCUUUUGUUGGGAAAGAAAUCCAGCUGGCUAAUACCCGGUUGGGAUGACGGUACCCAAAGAAUAAGCACCGGCUAACUUCGUGCCAGCCGCCGCCGUAA